UCCAACACUCACGACAAUCAGGAGAUACCAGAGAACUGGUUGUUUUGACCUAAAGAAGAAACUGUCUCUUUUCACUCUCUUCUUUCACCUCCUCUGUCCUCUUUAUCUCCUGGGGGGAGGAGGGAGGGGGACUGAGGGGGAAUAUACGUGAUGAGUUAGAACUGUGGGCCACUCGAUCAUCGGACGUCCGCCCGGGCGGUCACUAAUUUUGUCCAUCUUUGUACUCAUAUUUUUUUUUUUUUUUUUUUUAGUUUUAUAAUAAACCUUUUUUAUAAAAUCAUCAAUGCCUCGCCUGGACUCAUCACUCAACCAGAGCAAUAAAUCAUGUCUCCAAAUGAGGUCAACCGCAAAUUUGCCGUAACAGAGUAUAAAAUAGUUACGACAGCUAGUGUGCAUGUGAUUGAUUUUAAACUAAAUUAACUUGAUAACAUAUCCAAGCAUGGGAUAAAAAGUUGAAUCACGUCUGUAUGCAGUAUUACAAAAAAAAGGACAAAUCAGAAGCUUUAAAACGUUGAAAAACAAGACUUUUAUAGAUAUCUCCACGUCUAUCUUCUCAGGAUAUAUAGAGAAAUUAAAGAUGAAAAAGAGUGAAAAAUGUUCACAUCAGAGAGUGAGCUGUAUGCACUGGUCUUCGAUAAUGUCCAGAAGUCUGACGCCGAAAACUACACGUGUGAGAUCAACACAAAUAAAGGACUUUGGGAAUUACGUUAUAAAGUCAUUGUUUAAGAUGAAGAUGGGAGGAAAGUUGAUUGCCUAACUCCAGUGUUGGCUACUGUUCCCUUUGUUUUCCUCCUGAUGCUUAUACUUACCUGGAUCCUGCUGAGAAAAUGCUGAAAACAACACAAGGAGUAAGUAAAGAUUUUACACUUUUGUCUUAAACUUCUAAAAGGAAACUGUCCGGUACAAGAUCGGUAAAUAAAAUCCUGAUAUGUGAAGACUGAGUCA
rnacentral:lncRNA from 1 species